UUUCACUUGCAACGAGCAACCCAUGAUGAGU
rnacentral:piRNA from 1 species